GAGUUUGAUCAUGGCUCAGGACGAACGCUGGCGGCGUGCUUAACACAUGCAAGUUGAACGGGGCAUAUUUGAAGGGUAACCGGAGGGUAUGUCUAGUGGCGAACGGGUGAGUAAUGCAUGAGAACGUAUCCUCAAGAGGGGGACAACAUUGGGAAACCGAUGCUAAUACCCCAUAAGCCGGGAGGUAAAAGGAGCAAUCCGCUUGAGGAGCGGUUCAUGUCCUAUCAGCUAGUUGGUGAGGUAACGGCUCACCAAGGCGAAGACGGGUAGCCGGCCUGAGAGGGUGAACGGCCACACUGGAACUGAGAGACGGUCCAGACUCCUACGGGAGGCAGCAGUGGGGAAUAUUGGGCAAUGGGGGAAACCCUGACCCAGCGACGCCGCGUGAGGGAAGAAGGCCUUAGGGUCGUAAACCUCUGUUGUGUGGGAAGAAGAGCGUGACGGUACCACACGAGGAAGUCCCGGCUAACUACGUGCCAGCAGCCGCGGUAAUACGUAGGGGACGAGCGUUGUCCGGAUUUACUGGGCGUAAAGGGCGCGUAGGCGGUCAUUUAAGUCAGCUGUGAAAUGGUUUGGCUUAACCGGAUCAUGCGGUUGAAACUGGAUGACUGGAGUGCUGGAGAGGCAAGUGGAGUUCCCAGUGUAGCGGUGAAAUGCGUAGAUAUUGGGAAGAACACCGGUGGCGAAGGCGACUUGCUGGCCAGCAACUGACGCUCAGGUACGAAAGCUAGGGUAGCAAACGGGAUUAGAGACCCCGGUAGUCCUAGCCGUAAACAAUGAGUACUAGCUGCUUCUUUUUUAAGGGGUGGCGUAAGCUAACGCGUUAAGUAUUCCGCCUGGGUAGUACGGCCGCAAGGUUAAAACUCAAAGGAAUUGACG
rnacentral:rRNA from 1 species